AGCAGUAGCCGCGGUAAUACGAAGGGGGCUAGCGUUGCUCGGAAUGACUGGGCGUAAAGGGCGCGUAGGCGGAUUGUUUAGUUAGGCGUGAAAUUCCUGGCUUAACCUGGGGACUGCGCUUAAUGCAGGCAGUCUAGAGUGAGGAAGAGGGUUGUGGAAUUCCCAGUGUAGAGGUGAAAUUCGUAGAUAUUGGGAAGAACACCGGUGGCGAAGGCGGCAACCUGGUCCUUGACUGACGCUGAGGCGCGAAAGCGUGGGGAGCAAACAGGAUUAGAUACCCCAGUAGUCCCUGUCUCUUAUACA
rnacentral:rRNA from 1 species